UGUGGCGGAAGCCCGACCCGUCCCGUCUCCUGCCGCCGUUUCUCGUGUUUUGCCCUCUCUCUCCCCCGGCCCCGGGAAAUGGAGGAAAACACAAUUACAUCGGGCCCGAACAGUCGGCCGAGCUGCCUGAGCCUUUCUCCUGCCCGCAGGGGGGAGGCUGCCCGGAGCCGGGAGCACCCAGCAGGAGGAGGCAGCUGCUGUGUUCGCCGGGAAGACUGUGGAGCAUUGGGAAGAAUAUUCGGCAUAGAGAAGUGAAAGGCACGAGGGAAGCUCCACGUUCCCGAGGAAAUGCUUUAGGCACCACAUGCAGCUUCUGAACAGCACCGAUAAUCCCGACUCCCACAGAAACCUCCUGAAAAUGGAAGGGACGGGGAAGAAAAUUCCAGGAGUGGUGUGGGAAGCGCUUUCACCCAGGUCUGGACAGCGUUGCGGUUGGAAUGGCUUCAAAAUGACCCUUGUGCCUCUCCUGUUGCCAGCCCAGGACUAAGUCUGUGUUCCCUGCGUGUGGAGGGAGGAAACCUGUGCUGGAGAGUGGGAGAAAGGUCCCUGCUGGUCGCUGUGUCCUCGGUGGGCAGAGAACUCUGACCUUGGCCAGGCUGGACCUGCACAAGGGCCAAGGUGAGACCAGGAUCUGUGAAAUCUCCCACUCCCUGUGUCUGGCCCAGGCUGAAGCCGUGUUUGCUGUCGGUGCUGACGGAGUGGGAGCUGCUGAAGACUGGAAACUCCUGCUCUUCCCCUCAAUCCCAAGACUGUGGCCAUAAGAGGCUUCUUUCCUGGUUCCACCUUCAGGACACUUCCAAGUGUGUGGAGGAAGCCAGGCUGUGCCAGCAUGGGAACGGUUGGGACACACCGAGCACAGCUGGAGCUGCUGCCCAGCCCUGUAGAACUCCUGGAAGAGUUUAUGGCCUCAAAAAGUUCUUUUCUAUUCUGCAGAAUUUCUCUAGAACUCAAUUAAAAAUAAUAAAAUUGUACCA